AUUGAACGCUGGCGGCAGGCCUAACACAUGCAAGUCGAACGAGUGGCGGACGGGUGAGUAAUGUCUGGGACACUGCCCGAUGGAGGGGGAUAACUACUGGAAACGGUAGCUAAUACCGCAUACCAUCGGAUGUGCCCAGAUGGGAUUAGCUAGUAGGGGGGGUAACGGCGCACCUAGGCGAGGAUCCCUAGCUGGCCUGAGAGGAUGACAAGCAACACGGGAACUGAGACACGUGCCAGAUUCUGACGAGAGGCAGCAGGGGGGAAGAUUGCACAAUGGGCGAAAGCCGGAUGCAUCCAUGCCGCGUGUAUGAAGAAGGCCUUCGGGUUGUAAAGUACUUUCAGCGAGGAGGCGUUACUCGCAGAAGAAGCACCGGCUAACUCCGUGCCAGCAGCCGCGGUAAUAC
rnacentral:rRNA from 1 species